rnacentral:rRNA from 1 species
AGGAUAAACGCUGGCGGCGUGCCUAACACAUGCAAGUCGAACGCCCUACGCAAGUAGGGAGUGGCGGACGGGUGAGGAACACGUGGGUUAUCUGCCUUUCGGUGAGGAAUACCAGCGAGAAAUCGCUGACAAUACCGCAUACGGUUCUUUCGAGAGGAAGAACGAAAGUCGUAAGACGCCGGGAGAUGAGCCUGCGCCCGAUUAGUUUGUUGGUGGGGUAAAAGCCUACCAAGACUGCAAUCGGUAGCUGGUCUGAGAGGACGAUCAGCCACACUGGGAUUGAGAACGGCCCAGACUCCUACGGGGGGCAGCAGCAAGGAAUUUUCCGCAAUGGGGGCAACCCUGACGGAGCAACGCCGCGUGACGGAUGACGCCUCUUGGGGUGUAAACGUCUUUUGGCCGGGAAGAGAACGGACGGUACCCGGCGAAUCAGGACCGGCUAACUACGUGCCAGCAGCCGC